rnacentral:lncRNA from 1 species
GUCCCCCUUCGUCCCUGUUCAGGUCAAUCAGCAAAGGAAACCCAGGACCCAAGUCCUCCCUCAACCAGACUCGAGCCCCCCACAGCUUUGGGGGGGCCCCUGCCCCCUCCCCUCAGCCUCCCAGUCCCCCUCCAUCCGCUCCUCAUCAUCUGUCCCCUCCCCCGCCCCCUCCCCACUUUCUGUCCCCUCACCCCAGGCACCACUGCACACGCUCAGUACCGGCCUCACUUCCUUAGGUUCUAGAACACAAGCUCCCCCUGUCAGAUCUUGUGUCUGCAGGUUUUGAUCUCAUGUAACUGGGCAGCAGCUCCGGGAGGGGGCAGCCCCGUAUCCCCCGUUUAUAAGUGGGGUUCGGAGUAGGGGGUGGCUUGCAUGGAAGGGCAGGCAUGGUCCCUGUCCUUGCUGACCAGGGACGGGAAGAGUGAGGGGACUUUGGGGUCUGCGUGGCCACUGGUCCCAAGAGAGGCCCUGCCCCAAGCACGCAAGGAAGUCUCCAGAUACCAGUGUCCCUGCAGCCGGGUCGCCCAUUAAAGCAAAACAGUAUCUGCCCCAGGAGCCAGGGGAUGAGUGAGGGGACAGGGCGCUGAGCUCCUGACACGAACAGUGACAGUGACGGCAGCCCCACCACAGCUUUCACAGCCUGAGCCCCCAGGGACCGACUUCUGUCCCUGGAUUCUGAUCCUUCGGCCACACCUCUGAGGGGCCAGGGGGCGGCUGUGCCCUGGAGGUGCCACCUACCCCCCCCGCCGCCCCUGCCCACCCAGCGUCCCCUCAAUGCUCCCUCCCUGGGGGGCUUGUCUCUGUGUCCCCCAGUGCCCUGGAGAUGCAGCCAGAGGCCGGUGGGCUCCCUCCGCUGACAGCACGAGUGAGGAGGACCCGGGACCCCUGGCUCUAGACGGCAGCUUCCAGGCACUGAAGAUGCUGCUGGUCUGCAGGCCACACUCGGAGAGGCAAGGCCUGAGGCUCUGUUGACUUUGACCCUUCAUAGCAAUCCUCGAACAGAGAGACACUGGCUCACAGAGGGUAGGCGACCUCUCCGGUGAGUGACCCCCUCAGGUGAGGGACAUGGGCAGGUAAGGGGCGUCCCUGUGUUCGUGUCGUCUCCAUGGUCACGGGGCAGGUGCGCCGUGGAGCCAGGACUUGAAUACGGAGCUCGAGAGGCCGGAGCUCCCGGUGGCCGCGACCGCCGCCUGGAACUGGAACUGCCCGGCGAGCUUCCUGUGGCUGUGACUCUGCCUUAAAGGCUGUGCUGCGUCAUUGCCUCAUUCAUGCGCUGAGAUGAGAAGACGGCCUCCCCUCCCCCAGGCCUCAGCCAGGAACGCUGCUCCCGUGGGAAACCGGCCCGACUGGACUCAGGGCCGAGGGAGCGUCCAAGCCGCCUCGGGAGGAGGGAGAGGCUGCGCCUCCGCCCCGGACGGUCUCACUGUCCGCGGCUCCGCGGACACCACGGCGCUGGCGGGGGCCUGAAAGUGCCGUCGUUCUGCCGUCAGAAUUCACCACCGCAGCUGGACGGGAAGAGCCACGCAGACCCCAAGGGGCGGCUUUGACCCUGAUGAGCGGUUUCAACCACGGGAAACCCCGACAGAGCCUCUCGCCCAGCCCGGCGACACGCGCCCCGGCAAAGCUGCAGCCUCCCGCCUGGUUCCCGGCUUCGCAACCCCAGCGCGACCCGGCGAUGCCUCUCCGCAGAGUCCAACUUGGGAUCCACCCAGCACGGUCACCCAGAGAGCAAAUACCAGUCCAGCUGUCCUUGACUUAGGGGAAAUUCGGAGAGAGGAGAUCACCAAAAUCAACAGACCACAGCGGCGGCAACAAAACCCUGUCAGAGUCAGAAAGGGAGUGAGAAUGGAGUAAAAUGUAUUUUAUAAUCUGCAUUCCAUUUAUGAAUUACGUUUAAGAACAAACAUGAGUGUGAGGUGACAGUGCAUGUCUAUGCCCAGGAAACAGUAUCUAAAAACGUUUUAAGUCCCAGCCUCGGUCCUAGUUUCCCAGACUCUGGAUGGGGGGGUUCAGGACUGAGCCCCUGCACCCCCUCUGCAUUCAGCCCAGACCUGAGCUGCUUUGGGGAUUCCAGACGUCAUCUGCCCUCAGGACACUCUGAAAACCCAGAGCCUUUCUGCGCUGAUACCCUGCUGUCUCCUCAGGGGCCACAGGUCCUCAGAUGUGUGUCAGGAGCUGUGUGACCCAGCACUGGGUAGAGAAGGAUCUGGAACCAGCUGUUCCCUCUGCCUGCAGCAUCCUGUCACCCCAAACCCCAGCCUCUCCUUUUCUCAUUGAUCAUUUCUCGGAGCCCGCGGCCCUUCCACAGCGCGUGGAAUGUUUGCACACAGCUAAUGAUCCUCUCACCAAACACGUCACAUCUCCACAAAAUGAGAAACGCGCUCAAGUUGCUGAGGCUGCUGAUUCCAGCCAUUAAUGUCACGCUGUGCGUCACAGGUGGGGUCGCGGGACCUCUCAUAUGACCCCCAGCUCUGCGGCUCUUGGCGGAUGUAUCGCCCCCAAGCCCGAGCUCCUAAACUCGACCCCAGCCUGGGCUAAAUGCGGCUACCCUGGGCUCUGGGGGAGCCGGACCCAGGCCCGAGUCUGUCCUUCACUGAGCACAGUGAGCUGAGCCCAGAUCCCCGAGUAGGAGGACCCAAGAGAGCUGCGGGGACAUCCAGCUGGUCCAGCCACCUCCUUGCAUGUGGGCAGGUCACUGGAAGGUGUGGCUGAGACCGAGAGCCCUGCUCUGAGCUGAUGCCCGUCAUCCCAGGAGCCAUUAUGAGAAUCUCCGGGCCCCAGACUCCUGAGCAGCAGGGUCCUAAGAGUCACCGGCUUGACGCUGGCUCCUCGCAGGGGAGGAAGGUGGUUUCCAGCGACGUCGUGGUGCUCGCCCAGUGCCACACAGCACAUGAGGGCAGAGCUGUGUCCAACAUCCCCGAUCUCUCCACCUCCUGCAAAGACCCUCGAAGCUUCUCAGGAGCUUGGGUGUGAGCGGCGAAUAGGAUCUCCAACUUCCAGGCAGGAAUCCAGGACUAAUCCUGAUGGAUUAGCAAAGUCAUCCUAUUGCAGAGACCCCCGAUGCCCCACCUAGUUCAGACCCUUGGACUCUAGGACACUGAAAUUCUCUCCAAAAUGUGAACAAUGAAGAUGUGCUUGGAAACCAGGAAAGGCUGAGCAGCUGAUGACCAUUUGGGUUUUGUGGCCUCCUUUUCAAAAGGAAAUAAAUACGGCAGAAAUGCUCUUCACAGAAGGGGCUUCAGGAUUUCAUAAAUAGACCAUAAAGAGGCAACAGAAGAACCAGCACAGCCCCAAAUCAACAUCUGUCCCCUGUCAUCUGGCUCUCCCUCCAUCAUCACCAUUCUCUCUCUCAAGAGCGAAACAAGCAUUCUUGUCUUUUGGAAAGAGAACCAUCUUCUCCCCGCCCAGACCUGCUUGGCAUCUUCCAAAGGUGGAGGAGCGUGCAUCCAAUAGGUGGGAUGGUGAGACCUGAUCUCCAUCAGUGGGCAGGGCUAAUAUUACACAUGGUUCUAAAAGUCAGGAUGCUUUUGGCAGCGAGUAACAGAACUUCCAACUAAAGGCGUCUUACACCUUUGUGGCCCAAAGCGGGGCCCAUGGAUCCAUAGCAUGAGCGUCUGCAGCCUGCAGGAAUUUGGAAUCUUAGGUUCUACCUCGGACUUACUGAAUAAGAGUCUGCACUUGCAGUAGAGCCCCAGGUGAUUCAUAUGCAUGUGAAAGUCUGCGAAGUACUAGUUUAAAUGAAAAAGGCUUUUUUUUGUGUGUGUGAACUUUAAAAGAAGCCCACAAAAAACAAUUCCAAUUUGGUUAACUCAUGAGUGCAAAGAUGUCAGGCCUCUAUCUCUGCAUCUUGGAGAUUUUUUUGGCUUCUGCCUCAGGGUUUCAAGAUGGCUGCUAUGGCUCCAACAUCAUCAAACCAAGUCCAAAACAAAUGAAAGGAAUAGGUGCUGGAGAAUUUUUCUUAUGUGUACCUUGGAAAAAGCUUUCCCAGAAAUCUCUAGUUCAUGUUCUUUGAGAUCCUAUUGGCUAGAAGUGGCUGGCAGGCCCACUCUUAAACCAGUCGCAAGUGAUGGGGAGUAGGUUUACUGGGAUCGGCCUUUGAACCACUGACCAAUCAAGUGUCUCCUCUUAGGGAUGGGAUAGGGCCACCUUCUUCCAUCACAUCAUCAUGUACCAGAGACUUGACACGUGCUGUCUUACAACCAAUGAAUCAGAUAUGAGUGCCGGCUUAUCUGGGAUUAGGAAACUGAAAGCCAAAGGGUUUCUGUGUCCUGCACACAUUCAGAGCAAGCAGAAGCAGAGCCAGCUUUGUGCCAAGGGGCUUGAAUCCAGGGGCAGAGCUCAUCCCACGAUGCUCACACCAGGACCACGGUCCCCUUGAGUGAAUUUGCAGGAAACAAAGGCAUUUCCCGUGUUCACUUGUGUCCAAUGUUGCCUUGUCUACUUAGCACAAAACCUUUAUUAAGUUAGGGCUGCUUAGCGUAAUGCUCCUUUGCUCCGGCACCCCCGCAGUGAUCAGACUGAGUGCAUCUCGGAGUCUAGCAGGAUUCUUGACGCAUGGCGGGACCUCGUCAUGAUUUGCCUCAUUUAAUGGAAUUGCAUUAUGAUGCUUUGCACACUUCAUCACACCUAACAGUGUUUUGCACAGAGUUGUUUAACAAACGCUUGCAGAAUGACUAUAUGACCAAUCAAUUAGUUCCCUUUCAAUUGAGCACUUAACUUUGUCCCU